UAAGGAUAUAUUUAACAUUUGUUUUUCUCUUAACAGACGCUAUAAUAAGAAGUUUUUUCACAACUUUACAGUGGAAGAUAGAGAUAGCAUCAGUUAAGACUUUUAGAAGAAGGAAAAAUUCAUUGUUUUACUAACAUCAAUUUGUCAGAUAUAUUGAAGCCUGGAUUUGGUGGAAGUUAACAGAGACGUAUUAAUACCAUAAGAUUCAUUGCAAUGGAGAAUAGUUAUAUAAGUGAAGAUUUUUUACCCAAGGAAGUUGAUGAUUCAAUAAGUGAAGACACAGCUUCAGUUUAUGAAUCUGAAGAAGAAGAAGAAGAAAAUAACAUAGCCAACAAUGAUAAUUAUGUCCACGCUGAAGAGGUUGUUGUUUUAGAAGCAAACAAAAAAAAUGAGCUGCAGCAUGAACUAUGUAUUGGCAUGGAGUUUAGCUCUGAUGAGACUGCAAGUAUAGCUUACAAAAAGUAUGCAGGCAAUCAUGGUUUCGACGUAAGAAAACAACGAAGGUGCAAAAAAAAAGGUAAGGUAGUAAGGCUUCGUUGAAGAAUUUGUUUGAGCUUAAAGAAAAAUGGGCAAUGGUUUAUGGACGUCAUACUUUUACAGCAGAUAUGGUGAGCACACAACAUAGUGAAAGUAUGAAUAAUAUUUUGAAAAAAUAUUUAAAGCGUAGUUAUAAGUUGUUGUGCUUCUUUGAACACUAUGAGAGAGUGUUGGAGGAUCGACGAUAUAAGGAAUUAAUUGCUGACUUCAAUAUGAUGCAUACCUCGCCGGUUUUAUGUGCUACUGUAGAGAUGUUGCAACAUG